GAUGAACGCUGGCGGCGUGCCUAAUACAUGCAAGUCGAGCGAACAGACGAGGAGCUUGCUCCUCUGACGUUAGCGGCGGACGGGUGAGUAACACGUGGAUAACCUACCUAUAAGACUGGGAUAACUUCGGGAAACCGGAGCUAAUACCGGAUAAUAUAUUGAACCGCAUGGUUCGAUAGUGAAAGACGGUUUUGCUGUCACUUAUAGAUGGAUCCGCGCCACAUUAGCUAGUUGGUAAGGUAACGGCUUACCAAGGCAACGAUGCGUAGCCGACCUGAGAGGGGGAUCGGGCACACUGGAACUGAGACACGGGCCAGACUCCUACGGGGGGGAAGAAGAGGGAAACUUCCCCAAAGGGCGAAAGCCUGACGGAGCAACGCCGCGGGAGGGAUGAAAGUCUUCGGAUCGGAAAACCCUUUUAUUAGGGAAGAAAAAAUGUGGAAGGAAAUAAUCACGUUUUGAAGGGACCUAAACAAAAAGGCCAGGCGAACCACCGU
rnacentral:rRNA from 1 species